CGUCUCAGUUCAGAUUGCAGGCUGNAACCCGCCUGCAUGAAGUCGGAAUUGCUAGUAAUCGCGGAUCAGCAUGCCGCGGUGAAUACGUUCCCGGGCCUUGUACACACCGCCCGUCACACCAUGAGAGCCGGGGGGACCCGAAGUCCGUAGCUUAACCUUAACCGGAGGGCGCGGCCGAAGGUAAAACUGGUGAUUGGGGUGAAGUCGUAACAAGGUAUC
rnacentral:rRNA from 1 species